ensembl:processed_transcript Gm12703 predicted gene 12703
AUAUCUAGGUCUGCAGAGGCCUGGAUAGGCUUGCAGGCUACCAGACAUACUCCACUGUGGUAAUACUCCUUUGAACGAGGAGUUACUGGGAGCUGAGGCACUUUUCCAAACAGUGAACUUGCUGAAGUCAGCAAUCCAGAAGCUCUCAGUAACAGGGAAAGGAUGAGGAGACCCAGUGGCUGCAGAAAGAACUGGGGUCUGAACACCAGAUGCUUAACAGUGUCUUCAUAGGAAUCUUCAAAGCCUCACCAUAAGGUCGUUUUGGUUCCCAGCUUAAAGAGGUGGGGCAGUGAAGUUUGAAGAUAUUAAGUACUUUCCCAAGAUCCCACACCAAAGAAAAAUAAGGCAAGAUCCCAAUCCAGGUGAAGAAGUGUAUUCCUGAGCCUUUGGGGUGUGGUCUGCAGUCUGUGAAAGUGCAGACAAUUCCUUGUUAAGUCAUCUAGGCCCAGGAUGGAGACCCAGAGACGUACAGAUCCCAUUGCCUUGGGUCUCUGUGUUCUUAAACACGAUAUGAUAGUGUAGAUUUAAAUUUUUCUAAGAGCACUUCUGCUCUCUGACAGUUUGCGUUUCCACAUUUACUUUUAUCAAAGGCAUGCAACAAAAGAAUCAAAUAACAGGAAGGGUGAGCCACUGGCAGGAUCCUUCCUGGGGUCAGGCAUCCAGGAAAGGCCAGAGACAGAACUGCAGGGUAAACAAACUGAGGUUGAUGUUCAUGGCAUCCUUGCAGGUUUUCACCACCUCUGCAGGCCCUGACUUUACCAUCAGGCACUCUGAUCCUGGCCUUAACAGUAUUAGUCUCUCGCUACCCCCUACCUGUAAGGUGCCUGAUGCCUGCGGUUCUGGUUACUGUCUAGCUUCAGAGAGUGUUCCGUUUUGCACAGUAAUAGAAGGUGUUCCACCAACAUGGAUAGAAAUGGACUCAUACUGGGAUACAUGGCUUGGCAGGAAGAGCAUGGGCUAGUUCUUCAGCUCCUUUUCUUGCCUGUGGCCAAAUAUUCCUAUGCAGUUCACAACUCACACACUGCUUUGCAUCAGUUAUGAAAUGAAGCUGACUGAUAAUUUAUGUUAGUGAAUGAUACUCAUCCAUCCAUCCAUCCAUCCAUCCAUCCAUCCAUCCAUCCAUUCAUCCAUUCAUCCAUCCAUCUAUUCAUCCAUCUAUCCAUCUAUCCACUUAGCUACACCCCAAGGGACCUACAAGAUGUACCUGAUCCUUUUCUUUCUACUUCAGGCUCAGUACCUCAUACUAUUGACUUAGCUUCUUUUCCACCCCCAAAUGAGCUUUACAUCACCUGUCCACCGCCCCCCAGAAAGGAAUCUCAUCUUUCUCUGAACUAUAACUUCAGCUUUCUAAAAGGCGUCUGCCAUCGAUUUUGUUCUGCAGUGUUCACUUCCAUUUCCCUAAACAGAAGGUGUAUAAACUAAGCCAGAGGAAGCUAGAAAAUUAGAGAAUCUCUUCCCAGUGUAGAUUUGAUCACAGUCCUUUCUUUCUUUAAGUCUUGGUGGCUUCUUGAGACUCCUAGAAUAAAAAAUGACAGUCUAGGCCCUUAUAAGUCUUUAGCACCAUCAAAGUAACUAUGGCACAGGCAUCUGUGAGGUAAUUGGCAAUGUUGCCUCCAUUCAGGAUGUCAGUUGCAAGAUACAGUACCUGGGCUCAUCACUGGUUUUCUGACUCCUAUCCUAGUGUCUGGCACAUCAUCUAUACUUGAGAAACUUGUACUGGAUGAAUGCAGGGUUGUCUGUCUUGGACAAAUUAGGAUCUAAUUAAAGUUCCCACUUGAGAAUCCCCUAAAUGACCUGUAAGUCUUGUGGUACAAAGGGAAGG